UUCAGUUCACUUUUGAACGUUGACGAAGACGGACGUACUUUCGUGAGCUCUGACUAUUGAUGAAAAGUUUUGAGUUUUACUGACUUGUACUUUGAGAGUAAAAUUGACUUCGCGUUAUAGAAUAGCGACUUGGUACUCAGGUUGUUGAAUGACUGGAUGACUGAAGUGUUAGGUUAUUGUUAUGAGAUAACAACUUGACUUUGACUUGAGUUGUGAAAUGAAAUCAUACUCUUAUGCGAUGUUAACUUUUGAACGUUUAGUAUUGACUGACAACGAAAUUUUGUGAGCGUUAUAUAUGAAAUGUUUGACUUACAUUAAUUUUUUUGAACGACUUGACUUCACUUUAAGUUUUGACAUCGGACUGAUCGGACGUGUUUUUUUAAGCUCUGACUGUUGUGAAUAAUUAAAUUUAUGUUGUGGUGUCAAGCGAUUGACUGUCAGUUGAGGUUCAGAUGUCGAGCUGUGCGGACGUGUUCAUCGAGCUGCUGUCUACAAAAAACGGUGCUGUGGUGAGUACUGUAGAUUGUAGUGCAUAUGUAUAGAAUUCAAUAAAAGAUUAUGACUGAAAACUGCUUUUGAUUCUUAUUGUACAGUUUUAGGGAUUAUAAGUCUAUAGCAACUCUGUCGGUUGGUGUUCAUGAGUGUGAGCUUAAUACAGCAAUGUUUGAGUAGUACAAAAAUGUUUUCGCUUUUGUGGUCGCCAGCUGUCCGUGAUCUGUAAAGUGAAAAUACACAGAGCUAUGAAGCAUACAAAUGUUUCGAAAUUUUAUCAAUGAUUGUAUACUAUGCAUGUUUUGAUUUAGUUCGUUUCAGAUUUGACAUGAGAUGAAAACCUGACAUGAUUUGAACAGAGCUGGGAAACGAAAAGGUAAGUCUGUUUCAUUCCACUAUGAACACUUGUAUUUUGACAAAAGAAGAGAUAAAGUGAGUUACUUUAUCAUCAUGGUUUCAUUUGGUGUAUAACACAUGAACAGAGGUAAACCUAGCUAGCUUUUCGUGUACUCUAUUUUGGAUGAUGAGUAUGUCAGUAACUUUAAUUGUACGGCUAGUAAAGUAUGAACAUGAAUGCUUUGUUCAGAUUUUCAGAUGUGUGCUGGCAGUUCAAGUCUGGCAGCUGGAGUGAACAGUCGUGUUUUCUGGAGCUCCAACAAUAUGCUAGAAGGUAAGUAACUAUGUUUGUUUUGCAUUGCAUGUUUUUAUAUGUUUCAGACUUUCAAGCAGAGAUGUCAUGCUGACUGGAGUUGAGCACAGGGCAGUGACAAAGUGAAAGGUAAGUACUUUUGACUGAAUGUUUGUUCUAUGCAUGUUUUGUUUUAAUACAUUUCAGGAGUGCUUAUCCAGUGAUGAUAUGACAGUUGGAGUGAACAGUGGAGCCAAGCAGUCUUGUUUUUGGAGCUACUCAACAAGCCUUGAAGGUAAGUUUAGAAUUUCUCAAUGUUAGUGAAUUGAAGUACUGUCACUUGCUUUUGGACAGUCGAACAGAACAGACGUGGUUGCGAGAGCUCUCAUAUCUGUUGUGUUAAACUGUUUUUAUGAUAUGUUAUGUUUGUUUGUUUGUUUGUUGGUGUUGUACUAUUUUUCAGAUGCUGUUGUCAGUGAUGGGUUUUCAAGCUGACCUGAACAGAAAAGCAAUCAUAUGGUAAGUACAAAUAGUUGUUAUAUGGGAUGUUUUGUGCAUGCUUUUAUGUUUCAGGUGUACUUGCAGUUAGAGACGAAGACGAUUCAAGAAGAGGACCAUAGGUCAGAAAGUGGAUGGAACAUACAAAGGGUAAGUUGAACCUGUGUUUUUGUUUGAUUUUUACCAUGCAUACUUUGCUUUGCUCUGUUUCAGAUUUCACAUGCAGAAAUUAAACAGGAUUUCAACUGCUGAGACACAAUUCAUCAAAAGUAAGGUAAGUUUUAAUUCAUUGAUUUGAGUUGUACAAUGUGUUCUUUACUUUAUUUCAGAUUCGAGUCACUGGUUUACACAUGGAAGAAGAUUUCCACGUCGGUUACUCAACUCUACAGAAGCAAGGUAAGUCGAUCAAAUUUUUGUUUUCAUUUGUACUGCUGUAAUGUGAUAGUAAACUUAUGCUAUUUUUCAUGUGUGUCAUGUACAGAUGGAUAAUUCAAGUUUGAUCUGUGUUGGUUUAUGUUCAAAAACGUUUUACAUGUAUGUGUGUUUGAAGAUGUUUUGUUUCAGUGGAUGUCCAGAUGGCAAGCAGAACAGACGUGUUUCUUGGAGCUGCCAAACAGUGAGUACAAACGUUUUAUAUUUUUCAGUUGUUUACUCAUAGAAGUCUGUGAAAGAUGAUAACAAGGGUUGAAUUGCACAGUACUUGUGUCUAAAAAUGCUGAUGUGUGACGGUUUACUGAAAAGGGUAAAUGCUAGCCAGUACUAACACUUGAGCAACCGUGGGAUGUCGAACUAACUGAUGAUGUACUAUGAUGGUGAACACUUACUAUGUGUAUCGAAAUGCUUUUGUUGAUAUUUAUUAUAGAUGAUUUGAUAUUGGUUAACAUUUGUUUGCAUGCUGUUAACAUUUCUAUUUCAUUUCAGGGAGCUGUGGUAAGUAUUGUAGUAUUAAUUUGUCUCAAUAAACGAUGAUGAAUGAAAACUGAUGUCGAUUCUUUUUGUACAGUUUUAGGUAUUAGCACUCUAUACAAAACUCUGUCGGUCGGUGUUUGUGAAUGUGAGCUUAAUGUUUGAGUAGAACAAAAAUGUCUUUACUUUUGUGAUCGCCAGUUGUCUGUGAUGUAAAGUGGAAAAAACACAGCUAUGAAGCAUACAAUUGUUUCGAAAUUUUAUCAAUGAUUGUAUACUAUGCAUGUUUUGAUUUAGUUCGUUUCAGAUAUGACAUGACCUGAAGAGUUGACAGUCGAACAGAGCUGAGCAAUGCAGAAAGGUAAGUGUGUUUCAUUUUAGUAUGAACACUUGUAUUUUGUUUUUAUAUGGUAUGUUUUGUGCAUGCUAUGUUUCAGGUGUACUUGUAGUCAGCGACGAAGACGAUUCAAGAAGAGAAACAUUGCUGAGAAAGUGAAUGGGACUUGCAAACAGGGUAAGUGUUACAAUUGUGUUUGUUUGAUUUUUGCCAUGCAUACUUUGCUUUGCUCUGUUUCAGAUUUCACAUGCAGAAAUGGUCUCAUAGCAGUGCCAACAGUGAAUAAGGAUUUCAGCUGCUGUGAAACAACUCAACAGAAAGUAGGUAAGCAUUGAAUGAAUGCACUUGAGUUGUACAAUUUGAUGUGAUGCUUUUCUCUGUUUCAGAUUCAAGUUCCUGGUGUAGACAGAGAAAUGUGUUUGAAGAAGGAAUUCUACUACUGUGAUUCAACUCUACAGAAGCAAGGUAAGUAGAAACACAAUUUUGGUUUAAUUUAACUCAUGUGUUUUGCACUGCAUGCUAUUUUUCAGGUCUCUCAUGCAGUGAUGCAAAAGAAGAAGAUUUCAAGAAAGAAUCACUGCUGCAACUCAGGCCUAUAACAAGGUAAGUGUUUACUAUAUUGUAUACAAAAUGUUUCUCUGUUUUACUCUGUUUGAAGGUUUCAAUUGCAGAGAUGUUGCAGAGAUGUUUUGACAGCUUGUGACAGAAAAGAAAUUCAGCAGCUGUGUCUCGACUCUAGCCACGAGGUAAGUCAAAACAAAUAUACUGGUUUGUAUGUUAUGUUGUUAUGCCCUUCUAUGUUUCAGACUUACAUUGCUGUGACUGUUCCACAGUGGGUCAAAAAAGAGACGAAUACAGGCUUCAAGAAGAAAAUUGGCUGUUGAAAACCUGCACAAAAUAUGAGGUAAGUAAACUAUUCUUUUGGUUUGUUUUGUGCUUUGUUAUGCUUAACUAUUUUUCAGAUUGGAAUGGUGGGUCGUUACAGAGCAGACUUUUGGACAACUGAGAAGUUGAGAAACAGAGAAUGAUUCAAGAUCAGCUAGGUAAGUCUUGAUUAUUGUGCAUUGCUAAAUGUUUUUUUUCAUUCCAGUAUGGCUGUGGUAAGUACACAAACUUUCUAUAAUUUAAUAUUGAACUGUUUUUAUGACCUGUAUUCUGCAUUGUAAAAUGUCUGUUUUUCAUUUCAGUAUCCUGUGGUAAGUACACUAACUUUCUUUAAUUUUCAUAUUGAACUGUUUUGAUGACUUGUAUACUACUAUGCAAUGCCUAAUGUUUUUUUCAUUUCAGUAGCCUGUUGGUAAGUACACUAACUUUCUAUAAUUUCAUAGUGAAUUGUUUUGAUGACCUGUAUUCUGCAUUGUAAAAUGUGUUUCUUUUUCAUUUCAGUAUGGCUGUGGUAAGUACAAUUGCCUUUCAUAUUGAACUGAUUUGAUGACCUGUAUUUUGCAUUGUAAAAUGUGUUUCUUUUUCAUUUCAGUAUGGCUGUGGUAAGUACACAAACUUUCUUUAAUUUUCAUAUUGAACUGUUUUGAUGACUUGUAUUCUACUAUGCAAUGCUUAAUGUAUUUUUUUCAGUAGCCUGUUGGUAAGUACAAUUGCCUUCUUUAAUUUUCAUAUUGAACUGUUUUGAUGAUGUGUAUACUGCUAUGCAAUGCUUAAUGUUUUUUUCAUUUCAGUAUGGCUGUGGUAAGUACACAAACUUUCUUUAAUUUUCAUAUUGAACUGUUUUGAUGACCUGUAUUUUGCAUUGUAAAAUGUGUUUCUUUUUCAUUUCAGUAUGGCUGUGGUAAGUACACUAACUUUCUUUAAUUUUCAUAUUGAACUGUUUUGAUGACUUGUAUUCUGCUAAACAAAAUGUGCUUUUUUCAAUUUCAGGUCAGCAAUGGUAAGUAGAUUGUGUUUCUUUAUGUAUAAUUGUGUAUACAAAGUUUUUUUUUCAUCAUAGCAUGUCUUUUAUAUUUAUGCUUCGUGUAAGUAAAAUGUUCAUAAAUCAUUCUUAUCUUCAAACUAAAAAUGUAUUGUGCUAUGCAAAAUAUCUGUAUGUUUUCAGUUGCCAGAGGUGAGUACCAUUACAGUUGAAAAGUUAGUUUUGUUUAGUUAAAGUUUUGGUUCACAGUUCUGUUUGUUAUUUGGCAAAAUUUACAUGUAUGCAUUGAGUCUUGAUUUCAGCUCGAUUGUGGACUGAAGAAGAUUGCCAGCAGAGGGAUUGGAUACAAAAUACAAACUUUACUGCUAGACGAGUGUUCUCUACUACUUGACGAGUCAGCUUUACUACCAGGCGAGCAGUGACAACAAGGCGCCUUUGUGGAAACAACACAACAAAAAACUGUACUGCUAGACGAGCAGUGACAGAAAGGCGCCUGAACAUGCAACACAAAACAAAAAAUGCCAAUAUACAAACCUUGAUGUGAACACCGAGUAGUCAAUGCAUACGUGUGGCGUACAGCUGCGACAAAACCGUGGGUCCAUCGCACCGAUAACUCGAACAUUGGACCGCGUAUGGACAUCAGUGCAACUUUGUGAAUCCAUGUAACUUUGUGAAUCCAUGUAACAUUGCGAAUAUGUGUCGAUCGAAAAAUGUGUACAUUCUGCACUGAAACGAACUCGGUGUUGCAAGUGGCAAGUGUUGACAGUGUGUAUGUUUAUGUUUAUGUUUUUACAUGAAAACUAAAGGAGAUUGUUCUCCUACCUUUUUUUUCCUUGUUUUAUUGCGCUGGCCAGCAAUAUUGAUGUAUGUGUUUGUGUUUAAACUAUGCAAUACCAAAAUCAAACAAAAAUAAACAUUAACAGUCAUUAACUGUG